rnacentral:rRNA from 1 species
UACAGAGGUCUCAAGCGUUGUUCGGAUUCAUUGGGCGUAAAAGGUGCGUAGGUGGCGCGGUAAGUCGGGUGUGAAAUUUCGGAGCUUAACUCCGAAACUGCAUUCGAUACUGCCGUGCUUGAGGACUGGAGAGGAGACUGGAAUUUACGGUGUAGCAGUGAAAUGCGUAGAGAUCGUAAGGAAGACCAGUGGCGAAGGCGGGUCUCUGGACAGUUCCUGACACUGAGGCACGAAGGCCAGGGGAGCAAACGGG